GAGUCCAGGCUGUGAUGAUUCAGCACGGCCGGAGUCCAGGCUGUGAUGAUUCAGCACGGCCGGAGUCCAGGUAGUGCUGAAUUUGUGGAGUCUGUUCCUUCCAAGCUGUGCCCAAGCCGGUGCUGAGCCACCACAGGCCGUACUGGAGGCCGUGGUGGCUACGGAAGUUGUGCUGAAAUGGCACAAUUGGGGAUAGCCUCUUGGUAAUUCAGCACAGCCGGAGUCCAGG
rnacentral:lncRNA from 1 species